GACCCUGUGGUGAAAUUCAUGUUGAGUUGCAAGCUCAUUGAUGUGCAUUAAUAGUGUACCGGGGUCU
rnacentral:tRNA from 1 species